GAUGAACGCUGGCGGCGUGCCUAAUACAUGCAAGUCGAGCGAACAGACGAGGAGCUUGCUCCUUUGACGUUAGCGGCGGACGGGUGAGUAACACGUGGAUAACCUACCUAUAAGACUGGGAUAACUUCGGGAAACCGGAGCUAAUACCGGAUAACAUGUUGAACCGCAUGGUUCAACAGUGAAAGACGGUUUUGCUGUCACUUAUAGAUGGAUCCGCGCCGCAUUAGCUAGUUGGUAAGGUAACGGCUUACCAAGGCAACGAUGCGUAGCCGACCUGAGAGGGUGAUCGGCCACACUGGAACUGAGACACGGUCCAGACUCCUACGGGAGGCAGCAGUAGGGAAUCUUCCGCAAUGGGCGAAAGCCUGACGGAGCAACGCCGCGUGAGUGAAGAAGGUCUUCGGAUCGUAAAACUCUGUUAUUAGGGAAGAAAAAAUGUGUAAGUAACUAUGCACGUCUUGACGGUACCUAAUCAGAAAGCCACGGCUAACUACGUG
rnacentral:rRNA from 1 species